UGUCCCCCGUCUCUCCAACCGAAAGUAUUCCACAGACCGACCGACCGAAAGUAUACCACCUACCGACCACUCAUCAGUCUCAUUACACCUUUUAUCCUGAAAUAUUCCUCUUUUUCCCUAUAUUAAAUCAACAAGUAUAAAUGAAAGAGAGACCUAAAAUAUAGGGUAAUAGAAGGCGAAGGAGCAAAAUAAGAAAGCAGUGAGCGAACAAGUGAUCAACUAGCCAGCGGCGCUCGAGUUUAAUCAGUUUAGAAGAUCGAAGGAGCUCGCUGGACACCUACAUCACUCGGACAAAUAAACACGGUCGAUAUGGGAGACGCUGUGUUUGGCAACCCCAUCACAAACUCAACUUUAAAAGGGCUGCCUUAAUUUGAAGAUGACUAUAACAUAACAAGCAUAGACAGAGCUUGUGUGGCUCUCAAUAUGAAGAAUGCAGAGGAA